rnacentral:tRNA from 1 species
AAAGAAAUAUUUUUUAAAAAAAGCUUCUAACUUUUUUCAAAGCAUAUAUGUUUAU